rfam:Pristionchus pacificus strain PS312 contig6211, whole genome shotgun sequence.
UCUUCAUUGCACGUGCUCUCUCGCCUCUCUGACCGGCGAGAGAGUGUGAGGAAUGAAGAGA